AAUGGAAGAAAGAACUACCUGGAUUCCCCUAGUAACGGCGAGUGAACAGGGAUUAGCCCAGCACCGAAGCCUUCGGCCAUUUGGUCGUUCGGCAAUGUGGUGUUUAGGUUUGCGCUUUUGCGGAUUGCUUCGUUCCAAGUCCAAACUUGAAUAUGGCUUAUGAAUGGCCCAGAGAGGGUGAAAGGCCCGUAUGGACGGAGUAGUCUGUGACUGUGUAGACCGUGGAGUCGGGUUGUUUGAGAAUGCAGCCCAAAGUUGGUGGUAAACUCCAUCUAAGGCUAAAUACUGGCACGAGUCCGAUAGCGAACAAGUACCGUGAGGGAAAGUUGAAAAGUACUCUGAAGAGAGAGUAAACAGUGCGUGAAACCGCACAGAGGCAAACGGGUGUAGUCAAGCUUCGAGUUGUGGCAAAUAGGCGGACCAGAAUGGCGUGAGCUUGAGCACAUAUGAGCUGGUUGCAGGUGCGUCGCUAGGCGUAUUCGGCCCGCAAGGGUUGGAUGUGUGGAGUGUCAUACGAUGCCGCAUGCCUGUAAUUAGUGUGUUCUGCUGGUUCGAUUACUUUGUCAUAGCGUAUGUCACGACCGUCGCAGCUGUUGGUCUGCUUCGUCUAAACCGUAGCGUGAGUUGCCUUGUGUAUCUUUGCGUUGCGGGGGCAGGUAGCUAGCUUUGGUUUCGGCCGGGUUAGUGUAAUCGCCGGGCGGAGUGGUAUCUAUGCAGUACGGCGGGGAUGGCGGUGCGUGGUCCUGGGCGUGCUAAAGUAUGUUGGCAUGGCUUGAGUCCGAUUCCAUGUUGCUAUCAAAGAUGGCCUUGGGGUGGCUCUGCCGUGGUUGAUGUGCGGCAGCGGCCGGGGCACCUUCGCGUUGAGCCUAUAGUCUG
rnacentral:rRNA from 1 species